rnacentral:rRNA from 1 species
GACGAACGCUGGCGGCGUGCUUAACACAUGCAAGUCGAACGGAAAGGCCCUGCUUUUGUGGGGUGCUCGAGUGGCGAACGGGUGAGUAACACGUGAGUAACCUGCCCUUGACUUUGGGAUAACUUCAGGAAACUGGGGCUAAUACCGGAUAGGAGCUCCUGCUGCAUGGUGGGGGUUGGAAAGUUUCGGCGGUUGGGGAUGGACUCGCGGCUUAUCAGCUUGUUGGUGGGGGAGUGGCUUACCAAGGCUUUGGCGGGUAGCCGGCCUGAGAGGGUGACCGGCCACAUUGGGACUGAGGUACGGCCCAGACUCCUACGGGAGGCAGCAGUGGGGAAUAUUGCCCAAUGGGCGGAAGCCUGAUGCAGCAACGCCGCGUGCGGGAUGACGGCCUUCGGGUUGUAAACCGCUUUCGCCUGUGACGCAGCGUGAGUGACGGUAAUGGGUAAAGAAGCACCGGCUAACUACGUG